CAACUACUCCCUCUGUCCUAAAUUUCUUGUCUUAGAUUUGUCUAGAUACGGAUGUAUCUAAUACUAAAAUGUGACUUGAUACAUCCGUAUCUAGACAAAUCAAAGACAAGAAUUUUGGGACGGAGGGAGUACUUU
rnacentral:pre_miRNA from 1 species